AAGGCACGGGCGCAGCAAUAUAUACAGCGUGGACCAUCGAUAAUAAAAUAUCACUGGUUAGAGAUUGAUAAAAAACUUAAUUUAUAUCCUGGUGUUGCAAACGCCAAGUGGCGUAAUUUACGUGACAUCUAUGUUAGAAAACUAAAUGAACAAAAAAAAUAUAUUCCAAGUGGAAGUGGAGUUGAAGCCAAACCUACAGUGGAUUCAUGGCCAUAUUUUGAAUUAAUGGGAUUUAUCCGACACUACUACGAGACGUAAAAAGACAUUUAGUAAUAUAAAACCACAGUCUUGUAAUAGUAAUAUGAAUUGUGACACAGACAUGGAACAACCAUCAACUUCUAAAAACAGUUGCAGUGCCAACGGGAAUAAUACUUUUAUAGAAAAGCAAAGGUUAACUCCCCCCCAAGUUCUAAUGAAAUUUCGGAGAGUUCAGAAGAAAAAAGUUAUGACUACAAGCAACAUAACUUAAUACCAGUAAUUUGUAAUAAUUCAAAAAAACGAAUGCAUUUUAAUUCAAAUAUAAAUUUAGAAACAUCGAGAA